AAGCCAAAAAGCCUUUAAAUAAUGGUCAUUAUGUAACAUAGCAUCUAUUAUUUAAAACCAUGCCCCUUGAUCCCACCUAUCUCUUUUCCCUAGCUGCACCAAAUAUGGCUAAGUGCAUAGUAGCCUUUAACCUUACAAAAUUAGUAAUCCCUUCUAUUAAUCCUCAUGGUGUUUGCCCAUUACCUUAUGUGAGUUAUUUCAUGGAAAAGGACUCCAGUGAACUCCUUUCUUACAUCAUUAAAGUAAUUUCCUAAAUAAUUUGCGCUAACAUGGAUUUCAUUAUUGCUAGCAUAAACAACACCAUUCAUGAUGUCUAGGAGUAAGUUCACCUUACCAUAAAAAUUAGAAUCUGUUGCUUUAGCUUGUUGGAAUAUCUUCUUUGUUAAAUCCAUUACAGUUGAUAGGAUUCGUUUGCUAUUUUGUACUCCAAUCUCUCUAGUAAAUCGGGCUUCGCCAUAGAUUGAACCGUUGUUAUUGGUGACAAUGUAGUGAACAACAUAGUUGCCUUGAAUGUUGGCUAGGGUUACCAACAAAGAGAGGAAGAAAGCUUUGUGAAACAUUGUGUAGCUAGUAUUGUGUUUUUUUAGGUUUGUUUGUGUGAGAAAUGUGUUAAAGUUCUAUGGUUUAUGUAAAG
rnacentral:misc_RNA from 1 species